rnacentral:rRNA from 1 species
GUCUACGGCCAUACCACCCUGAACGCGCCGGAUCUCAUCUGAGCUCAGAAGCUAAGCAGGGUCAGGCCUGGUUAGUACUUGGAUGGGAAAAUAAGUAACUACAGCUA